rnacentral:rRNA from 1 species
GACAGAGGCCUCGAGCGUUAGGCGGAAUCACUGGGCUUAAAGCGCGUGUAGGCGGAUCGUUAAGUGCCUUGUGAAAUCCCGCGGCUCAACCGCGGAACCGCUGGGCAUACUGGCGGUCUUGGGCCACUCAGGGGUCACUGGAACAAGCGGUGGAGCGGUGAAAUGCGUAGAUAUCGCUUGGAACGCCGACGGUGAAAACAAGGUUGGCUGGGAAUUGG